rnacentral:misc_RNA from 3 species
GCGAGAGCUUAUUUACAAAUUUUAGAAUGUUUAUUAUCUAGUUUUGAGAGGAUAAUUCCACUCAAGUG